rnacentral:lncRNA from 1 species
GAGUAGCUGUCUUACCUGUUGUGGACCUCCGCCAUGUUGCAAUACGUGUGGUUGUAAGUAAUAAAUCAUUCAGUCUUAUAAGUCAGGUUAAAAUUAUACAUUUUUUUUGUUUCAUAACAGUACAACAGUUUAUGUUGCUUAAAACUUGUGACACUAUCAAAAUAGUAAAAUUGCCGAUCACUAUCUGAUUGCUCUACAACAAAAAAUUCAAGCGGUUUCCGAAUUUUAUUUUUUUUUUUCUAUAAAAAAAGGUGCAUUUUCAAAAAAAAAAUCUAUAAAUUCAUAAUUUCCAAUAACAAAUACUUGAUUUCAAGAAGAGCAAUUUACCUUUAUAUUAUAAAAAAAUUUUAAAUCAGCUUUCCAUAGUUCAAAUAUUUGUUAGUGAUGAUUUUACAUAUAUAAACGUUAUAGUAUACCAAUUCUUUUUUAUCUUUGCAGUGAAAAGACCACAACAAUCCUAAAAUAUAUGGUUUACGCAAGGUUGCCGUCAUAAAUGUGUACAUCCUGAGUAUGUCCACAGAGAAGGCAGCAAAGCACUGUUUUGUAUUUAAUAACUUUAUUGUUAAUAAAUUAAAACAAGUUUUCUCUGCACAAUUU